rnacentral:ncRNA from 2 species
CACAUCUAGAACCGUGUUGGUUCCCCUUUCGUUGCAAGAGUCGAAACGGGAAGCAAAAGGGAACACGGUGCGGACGACCCAAAAGGGGCCAAUGCCGUGGCUGCCCCCGCAACUGUAAGUCGCGAUGGAUUUCGGAAUUAUCCACUGGCCCAAGGGCCGGGAAGGCAACCGGAAACCGAUAAAGUGACGAGCCAGGAGACCUGCCAGCACACCCGACCGGCC